GCUGGGAUAGCUCAGUCAGGAGAGCAUGAGACUCUUAAUCUCAGGAUCGUGGGUUUGAGCCCCACAUUGGGCA